GCCUACGUAGCUCAGUGGUAGAGCACUUCCUUGGUAAGGAAGAGGUCGCCGGUUCAACUCCGGCCGUAGGCU
rnacentral:tRNA from 1 species